rnacentral:lncRNA from 1 species
AUGUUCCAUGGAAAGCAUCAGACAAAUAACAGCUGGAACAAGAAGUCAAGCUGUGAAACAUGCAAAUGUUGCAUCAUCUGGCUUCUUGGCAGACCACUCAGAACAAAGACACCCUGUCUCCUGGAGCUCCUGCCUCACAGUCACUACACAUUAGGUAAGGUUUACACAGCUCAAGCUUCAGAAACAACGAAACAGCUAAUUCCACUGGAUGCUAUUCCCCACUGCCCUGUGGUUCACUAAGGUGUGAGAUCAGCUGAUAAGAGACAGCUUCAGCUACAUUCUGGCCAUCUGAUGAAACCAGGCCCCCGGUAUCCUGAUUUGUCACCAACAUCCACUAGUCACAAUUUUCCGUCAUAACAACAUGCACCUGAUCAGCCAUUCAAAUCAAGCAGGCCAACAGCAGGUUUUGCAGUAGACCCUAACACCCACAUUUACUACCAUCUGAAGAAGAAUGACCACUUCUGUCCAUCACUAAGACCAGCCCUUCAAUCUAGGCCAUUUUCAUAGACAGCUUGACUCAAAUUCCAUUGAAGUCAGUAGAGAGACUCUCACUGAAUCACAUCUAGAAUGUCUGCAGAUGGACUCCAUCUUAAAGAAAGAGAGCUGGAUAAGGCAAGGAGAGAAGAGAUGCACAUGUGCGGUCACCAAGUGGAUUUGGGUGAAGAGAUGUGCAGAGAGUGCGGAAUGAGAAAUGAGAGAAAAGGAAGGCAAAACUGAGGAGAAGCUUGAAAGAGAAAAUGAAUGAGUGAGUGAGAGUGAAACAGAAAAAGAGGAAUGGAGGGAGAGUGGAGAAAAAAGAGACAGGAUGAUGAAAGAAGAGAUAUGCCAAUAUGCAACAUAAGGAAAGAAAAAGUGAAGAAAAGAUGAGUAGCAAGUGAGACCCCAAACGAUACAUAUUUUAUUAUUUAAAACAAGGUUUUUAGCCAUAAUGUUACAAUACUAAGGAUGCUUGAUUUUUGUAGACAAACUGGGUAUGUUCAUCUUCAGGAGUGACCUGGCUGAAAUACUACCUGAGAGACGAAAGUAGCAAAUGUUUUAAUCUUGUCAGGGAAAGGAAUGGCUUCAAGGGGUCCUAUUGGGUAGAGUACACUGAAGAAGAGCUUGAUUCAGUUUUAUUCCUAAGAGGGAAGUAGCAGCACUAGCCCUCCGCUUUGAUGUAGCCUGUGGAAACUGAUGUUUUAGGACAGUCUGACAUCAAUUAAAGCCCCACGCUGCACAAAUUAAAACCUGCUUUUCUUCACUAAUUUCCUUGGCUUAUACUAUUUUCAAAAUCAUGCAGUUCAAACACAUACAACAGCCAAAUAAGACUGUCAUCCCCAACUGUCUUAAAUAUAACAGUUUUCCCUACACUACUGUCUGAAAUAAACAGAUCUAGAGCUUGUUUACUGAGCA